GACAGAGGAUGCAAGCGUUAUCCGGAAUGAUUGGGCGUAAAGCGUCUGUAGGUGGCUUUUUAAGUCCGCCGUCAAAUCCCAGGGCUCAACCCUGGACGGCGGUGGAAACUACCAAGCUGGAGUACGGUAGGGGCAGAGGGAAUUUCCGGUGGAGCGGUGGAAUGCGCAGAGUAUCAGGAGGAACACCGAUAGGCGAAGGCAGAUCUCUGGGCCGUAACUGACGCUGAGGAGCGAAAGCGUGGGGAGCGAACAGG
rnacentral:rRNA from 1 species